rnacentral:misc_RNA from 1 species
GUGAAGAACGCAGUGAAAUGCGAUAAGUAAUGUGAAUUGCAGAAUUCAGUGAAUCAUCGAAUCUUUGAACGCACAUUGCGCCCGUCAGUAUUCUGGCGGGCAUGCCUGUUCGAGCGUCAUUACGCCCCUCAAGUCCCCUGUGGACUUGGUGUUGGGGAUCGGCGAGGCUGGUUUUCCAGCACAGCCGUCCCUUAAAUUAAUUGGCGGUCUCGCCGUGGCCCUCCUCUGCGCAGUAGUAAAACACUCGCAACAGGAGCCCGGCGCGGUCCACUGCCGUAAAACCCCCCAACUUUUUAUAGUUGACCUCGAAUCAGGUAGGACUACCCGCUGAACUUAAGCAUAUCAAUAAGCGGAGGA